rnacentral:rRNA from 1 species
UUGAACGCUGGCGGCAGGCCUAACACCUGCCAGUCGAACGGUAACAGGAAGAAGCUUGCUUCUUUGCUGACGAGUGGCGGACGGGUGAGUAAUGUCUGGGAAACUGCCUGAUGGAGGGGGAUAACUACUGGAAACGGUAGCUAAUACCGCAUAACGUCGCAAGACCAAAAAGGGGGACCUUCGGGCCUCUUGCCAUCGGAUGUGCCCAGAUGGGAUUAGCUAGUAGGUGGGGUAACGGCUCACCUAGGCGACGAUCCCUAGCUGGUCUGAGAGGAUGACCAGCCACACUGGAACUGAGACACGGUCCAGACUCCUACGGGAGGCAGCAGUGGGAAUAUUGCACAAUGGGCGCAAGCCUGAUGCAGCCAUGCCGCGUGUAUGAAGAAGGCCUUCGGGUUGUAAAGUACUUUCAGCGGGGAGGAAGGGAGUAAAGUUAAUACCUUUGCUCAUUGACGUUACCCGCAGAAGAAGCACCGGCUAACUCCGUG